CUCCAGUUGAUCGCAUGGUCUUCUGGGAAAGCUUUCGCGGUAUGGGAUGGGGUCGCGUCCUAUCAGCUUGACGGCGGGGUAACGGCCCACCGUGGCUUCGACGGGUAGCCGGCCUGAGAGGGCGACCGGCCACAUUGGGACUGAGAUACGGCCCAGACUCCUACGGGAGGCAGCAGUGGGGAAUAUUGCACAAUGGGCGCAAGCCUGAUGCAGCGACGCCGCGUGAGGGAUGGAGGCCUUCGGGUUGUAAACCUCUUUUAUCGGGGAGCAAGCGAGAGUGAGUUUACCCGUUGAAUAAGCACCGGCUAACUACGUGCCAGCAGCCGCGGUAAUACGUAGGGUGCAAGCGUUAUCCGGAAUUAUUGGGCGUAAAGGGCUCGUAGGCGGUUCGUCGCGUCCGGUGUGAAAGUCCAUCGCUUAACG
rnacentral:rRNA from 1 species